rnacentral:rRNA from 1 species
UACGUAGGGGGCUAGCGUUGUCCGGAUUCAUUGGGCGUAAAGCGCGUGUAGGCGGCCAGGUAGGUCCGUUGUGAAAACCCGAGGCUUAACCUCGGGACGCCGACGGAAACCAUCUGGCUAGGGUCCGGAAGAGGAGAGUGGAAUUCCCGGUGUAGCGGUGAAAUGCGCAGAUAUCGGGAAGAACACCCGUGGCGAAGGCGGCUCUCUGGG